rnacentral:sRNA from 1 species
ACAAAGUGAGGAGGCACUGCUCACUAAGUGCCCGUAUCUGUGAUCAGAAGGAGCGGGGAAGGCCCGGGGAUCAAUCACUCCAAUCUGUAUCGCGAUAUAGUCGACUUGUCUCUCUGGAGAUGUAGUCCUCGGACUGUUUCAAUGCUUUGAAUUGUAACUUUGUAGAGUCGGGUAGAGGGAUCACUCCGCUAUUCAGCUUGGGUGCGUCUUAUCGAUGGAACAUUUAUUGGGGUCACUUGCUGUCAUUAUCUGGAGAGACAUCCUUCAUUCAGGGGCCAACAUUCCCGGUGAAUGUUGAUUGUGACGUAGCUUUAUUUACGUUGACCUAUUUUGAAUGCCUAAUCCCAAUCAACCGAGACAAUCAUUCUUUUAUUUUGUUUAUGUUUAAAAUUCAUGUGGCAUAUCAAAUGAUAUCAAAGAAACUCCAUGUGUACCAAUGCAUUUUUGCCGCCGGCUGAUAGCAUUUCUCGGGAAUCAAUGGGACAGCAACUCUCAAGCACCCGGAUAAACCGCGCAGAUUCUACGUCAGAUUGAGAUCUCCGUGAGAACUUCAAACAAGAUCUUUGUCCAAAGAAACAGAGUUAUGUUUCCGCCGAGCACAUGUUUUAAACAGUCUGAGAAUUAUGAGAAUUAAACAUCACGUAAUUAGCAAGCUCAACAUCCAACAGUUUCUUAAUAGGGGUGGAUCUUCUUCAAUACUACUCCUGCAGAUUUUCUUGUUCGAAAAUUUCUAAAGGCGUGAAACAUUGAGCGAUAUUGAAUGAACGGGAAAAAACCAUGGAAAGUGUCAAAAUCAAGUAAUAAAAGAGACUUGGGAUCACG